rnacentral:rRNA from 1 species
GAUGAACGCUAGCUACAGGCUUAACACAUGCAAGUCGAGGGACCGGCGUACGGGUGAGUAACGCGUAUCCAACCUUCCCAUUACUGUGGGAUAACCUGCCGAAAGGCAGACUAAUACCGCAUAGUCAUGGCUGGGGAUGCGUCUGAUGAGCUUGUUGGCGGGGUAACGGCAGACCAAGGCGACGAUCAGUAGGGGUUCUGAGAGGAAGGACCCCCACAUUGGAACUGAGGCACGGUCCAAACUCCAACGAGAGGCAGCAGUGAGGAAUAUUUGUCGAGGGACGGGAGUCUGAACCGGCCAAGUAGCGUGCAGGAUGACGGCAUAUGGGUUGUAAACUGCUUUUGUAUGGGGAUAGGUACCAUAUGAGUAAGGACCGGCUAAUUCCGUGCCAGCAGCCGCGGUAAUUC